UACGUAGGGGGCAAGCGUUGUCCGGAAUCAUUGGGCGUAAAGAGCGUGUAGGCGGCUUGGUAAGUCCGCUGUGAAAGUCCAGGGCUCAACCCUGGAAAGCCGGUGGAAACUGUCAAGCUUGAGUCCGGAAGAGGCGAGUGGAAUUCCUGGUGUAGCGGUGAAAUGCGCAGAUAUCAGGAGGAACACCAAUGGCGAAGGCAGCUCGCUGGGACGGUACUGACGCUGAGACGCGAAAGCGUGGGGAGCAAACCGG
rnacentral:rRNA from 1 species